CUGUCUGAAUAUGGGGGGACCAUCCUCCAAGGCUAAAUACUCCUGACUGACCGAUAGUGAACCAGUACCGUGAGGGAAAGGCGAAAAGAACCCCGGCGAGGGGAGUGAAAAAGAACCUGAAACCGUGUACGUACAAGCAGUGGGAGCACCCUUCGGGGUGUGACUGCGUACCUUUUGUAUAAUGGGUCAGCGACUUAUAUUCUGUAGCAAGGUUAACCGAAUAGGGGAGCCGGAGGGAAACCGAGUCUUAACYGGGCGUUAAGUUGCAGGGUAUAGACCCGAAACCCGGUGAUCUAGCCAUGGGCAGGUUGAAGGUUGGGUAACACUAACUGGAGGACCGAACCGACUAAUGUUGAAAAAUUAGCGGAUGACCUGUGGCUGG
rnacentral:rRNA from 1 species